AGCUACAUCAUAAUCCCGAUUGUUUGCAAGUUAAAGACAAGAUAUACAAAAAAGAAGGACUUUAUCAACUGAUCAUGAAGCAAGGACAUAUAAUAUUUGUUGUUUGUCUAUUAAUGGUCUUAUGUGGAACAAGUUCUGGGUGCGGUUGUGAAGAUCAUGGAGGUAAAUGUGGACGUAGUUAUUGUCCGAUUGGAUUCUAUAAAGAUUACAGAUCGCAUCCAGAUUGUCAUUAUACAGAGUUCUGUUGUCUUCCCAGAAACUCGAUGUGUUAGUUAUUGAAGUACAAGAAACUAAUGUCCACUUCAAGAUAUGACAUUACAAUAGAUAAUGUACAUUUCGAAA